rnacentral:lncRNA from 1 species
AUAGACACUGUCGGGGCCAGGCGUGGUGGUGCACGCCUUUAAUCCCAGCACUUGGGAGGCAGAGGCAGGUAGAUUUCUGAGUUCGAGGCCAGCCUGAUCUACAGAGUGAGUUCCAGGACAGCCAGAGCUAUACAGAGAAACCCUGUCUCGAAAAACAAAAACAAAUAAACAAACAAAUAAACAAAAGACACUGUCUGAGUCCUCGUUGCUAAAUAGGGAACAUCCAGAACCUGUCUAGGAAAACUUGGAGUUUCGGAGCCAUUGAAAGCUCUGCAUGGCCAUCUGCGUGAGAGGCUCCACCCAGCAGCUGACUCAGACAGAUGGACAUUGACACCCACAGCCAAACAGUGGAUGGGGCUUGGGGAAUUUUAUGAAAGAAUAGGAGGAAGGACUGUGGGCCUCAAAGGGAAUAGGACCUCCACAGGAACCAACAGAGUCAACUAACCUGGACUCUUAGGGCUCUCAGAGUCUGACUCACCAACCAAAGACCUACGUCUUUCGCACUUGAACCCAGUUGAACUGCUGUGUGAAGGAAAAUGCUACACAAACUUAGUUCAGAAACAAUGAUAGCUAAAUCUCUGGGUGCAACAACUAAAAUCCUAAUCUUGUAAGCCUUAUUAAAUCUGAAUUCCCCCGUGGUGAAUCCUGAUUGAUCCACUGUUGAAACCAGGAGACACUAGUAAUUACAUCUUGUCCUCAUGCUAUCCCCGUCCAAAAGAGACCUAACUCUUUCCUGCUUCCUCUCUUCCUCUGUCCAAUCUGGAAGUCCCACCUACUUGCCCAGUGAUUGGCUCCUUUAUUCAUUAGAAGAUUGGUUCACAAGAACAGCACCAGGCCCAUCUACAACAAAUAUGAAUAUAGAAAAAUCGUACAACAUUAAUUAAUGUGGGACUGUUUCCUCCACUUUUUCUAUUCUCCAUUCCCAAGGUCAUUUGUGCAUUUUUCCCCUUGGGGUCUAUUUGUAAGGAAAGGAGCAGUUGGCUGACGGGAGUUCUCUCUGCGCUAUAGAAGCUUCAGUUCAUCAAGGAGAUUGUGUUGAGGUGGGUGGGGAAGAAGGAACAGGGAGGAUGUUGGGUAGCCUUUCAGGGAAAGAAUUAAGAUAGAGAGAGCAGAUAUUUCUAUCAGGUUUGUGGAGAUGAAGGAACUGGAUCCUCUCAUGUUCGUGGUCUAAAGGUGAGGCUGCUUGCUAAUUGCAUAGCUCCUAGCCCUGGAAAAUCCCAGCAUGUGCACAACAAGGUGGUAUGACAGCUUCCAACUUCCAAGAUGUCACUUGAGUUUGAGUAAUGAGGGUGUCAGGGGUGGCUCCUGUGACCAAAGCCCAGAGGGAGUUCUCUGCUUACUUUUUUUUUCUUGAUAAGUCCCAUGGGAUGAGACUUUAAUACAAAACAAAACAACACAACAAACGUAGUCGAACCAGAGGUGUCUGGAAUUAUAGACAUAAGCCUGAGGUGAGCUACUAUCAGGGCACAGGCAGUGGAACCUCAAAGGGACCUUUGAUAUCCAUAGCCAUGGCUGGAGUCAUAGCCAAGGCUUAGAGGAAAUGAAGUAAGGGCUCAGGUGUUUGGUACAGGAAGCCAGGCUUAAUGAUGGCUAAGGAAUAGGAGGCUCAGAGAGCUUUACAUUUUUAUUUUCAUUCUGGUUUUAACAAGUAAUACUUUUUUGGAGAAAAAUUAGCUUAAUUUGGUUAAAUGUGAAUGUAAUCUUUCUGAUAUAGCCUUUGUGGUCUACAGUUUAUUUUUACAAUAGCAAUGCAAUGUUCAAUAUAAGCACUUUUUUUUUUUCGAGAUAGGAUUUUUCUGUGUAGCCCUGGCUGUCCUGGAACUCACUCUGUAGACCAGGCUGGCCUCGAACUCAGAAAUCCACCUGCCUCUGCCUCCCAAAUGCUGGGAUUAAAGGAGUGCACCACCACGCCCGGCUAUAAGCAUAUUUAGGAGAACGAGAUUUCUUCUAAUAAUACACUAAUACACAUAAACAGUCACAUACAUAUACAUAUGUACUCAUGUCUAAAAUAUAAGGUUAAAAAAAUUGUGGGGCUGAGUGUAGAGCUUCAUGCCUUUAAUCCUAGUAUUUGAGAGACAGAUAGAGGAGGGAAUCUCAGUGAGUUUAAGGCCAGACUGGUCUAUACAGCAAGUUCCAGGUCAGCCAGAGUUGCUUAGUGAGAACUUAUCUUAAAACAAAACCAAAGAAACUCAUCCAAAUAAACUUAGGGUGUGCCUACCCUUGUAUGUUGGUGUCUGACUCUAACACCCCACCCCCAACACACCAUCACCAAAGCUGAUCUGGAACCUUUCCCUGCUUAUCCAAAGAGUUGCUUUGCAUUUGACAGGCAGCUCCAUCCUUUAUUCUGCACCGGAUCGUUGUGGACCAUUGCUCCAUUACAUCAUAACUCCUCACACUGAAAAGUCCUGGAUUCCAGAAACAUCAUCACCAUCAUCACCAUCACCAUCACCAUCAUCAUCAUCAUCAACAACAACAACAACAACAAAAACCAAACUGAACAAACAAAAAGCCAACUCAGACCAGAUGCCUUUGCCACAUCACCCUCUUGGCUCUCAAUUAAUUUACACAGGUUCUUAAAUAGGUUAUGUUAUGUUGGAAUAAUGAACUAUAAUAUCUAAUCCCCACAUAUCUCAGGCUUAGUAUGAGAUUUAUUUCAAAAGCAUGUCACAUGGUCACUAUGGUUCAGUAGUGCGACACUGCUCAUUGUAAUUAAGGCCUCAGGCUGAUGAGUAUUUU